UACAGAGGGUGCAAGCGUUAAUCGGAAUUACUGGGCGUAAAGCGCACGUAGGCGGUUUUUUAAGUCAGAUGUGAAAGCCCCGGGCUCAACCCGGGAAUUGCAUUUGAAACUGGGGAACUAGAGUGUGUGAGAGGGGGGUAGAAUUCCAAGUGUAGCGGUGAAAUGCGUAGAGAUUUGGAGGAAUACCAGUGGCGAAGGCGGCCCCCUGGCACAACACUGACGCUCAGGUGCGAAAGCGUGGGGAGCAAACAGG
rnacentral:rRNA from 1 species